GAGGCGGCGCCCGGGCCGUCUGUUUCCGCGACGCGCUGAGCUCAACGCGCACGGCGGUGCCGCCCCUCGCCCGCCCCCGGCAGGGCGGCCCCGGCGGGCGGGAGCGCUGCGGACCCCGCGGUGGGGCCGGGGGUGCCUCCCUGUACCCCGACUCGCUGCCGCUCCCGGCGCGGUGGGGGGGAUGCUCGGAGCCGGCGGGGUGGGUGCGGUGUCUCUGCCCCCGUGGUGGGGGACGCCGCAGCGCUGUCAGCUGCAGCAGCAGCACAAGGUACAACGUUAUAUGUAUGUACAAUUCCGUGGGCUUCACACCCAUGGAAAUGGAAAAGUGCGAGGCGAAGAAUGAAUUAUCGGGGCGUUUCAAUAGGGUCGUGCUGCUGAGCGCUGAUUCAUUUGCCAAAAUGACAAAACCCUGUUUCCGUGCUGUAAGAUACAGAUUUACCUUCUUUUCACUCCCCUUGCCAUUUGAAACAGAAGCUGCCUCAGAAUUUGCCCAGAAGCCCCCAGCUUUUCCUUCGUGGCAUGGCCUGUUCUGCAUUUAGCUGCGGUCAGCCUCGGGCUUCUUGGUCUCCCGCGUCCAGCAGCCGCAGCCCUGGGCUGCCUCCGGCCGACCUGUAUCGCUCACCCGUCCCUGAGUUCGGGUUCUCCGUCUCAUUUUGCUACCGACCUUCAUGCCGUCUUCCACGGGAUUCCCUCCUUCUGCAACCCUAUUGUAGCUGCCGCCCUCUUUCCACAGCCUGCUCGCUGCUCCUGACCUCCACUUCUGGCCCAAUUCCGAAUCUCCUCUAGCAUGUUGCAGAAUUCUCUGCAUACAUUCUUAUUACAUUGGUCUUUUUUUUUCCUAGUUAAGCAUUCAUACUGUCUUAUGUCAUCUCAGAAUUCUGUGGAACUGGAGCUGAUCCUGUGCUUAUGGCUAGUGGUUCUUCCGUUAAGCUGUGUUGCCCCACAGAUGGCUGCAUUUGCACAAAAAGCAUUGCAGAAGAUUGAUGUGGCAGCAGGAACAAGUGGCAUAGGGAAGGAAGAGAACUGUCUGGAUCAAUUUUGCUGCCGGAAAAAAAGUAGUAUGGAAAUGCAUUCUGACUUGCAAAUAAAGAAGAAAGGAUAAAAGCCUUUGAUAAAUCAAAAUAUCUGCAAUACGCAUGGAUAGUGAAACAGAGAUCAGGCACGCAAAAAUAGGAAACAUUAAUAAAUACCACUACAUAACAAAUAUUAUAUAUAAAUACAGCUAAGAGACAAAUUGCACAGGACAAGAAUAAGUGUUGAAUACCAUCAGGUUUCUGUUUGCCCAUUGUGAAAGAUUAUUUGCCAUGCACUGAUUGUCAUCAAUUGUAUUGAAUGCAGUAGAUUUAAAAAAAAAAUUAAUACCUGUGUACCAUGAAAACAUGGCUAGGAUAAUGAGAUUAGUGACAAAUAGAGCUAUCUAAUGUAGAUGCAAUCUCACUGAUCCAAGUUACAAAGUGGCAAGAUACCAGUAAAGAAUGUGCAAGCUGAGAACUUUCCAAAUUUUUUGGCAUGUCAUAAAACAUUAAAGAUGAAGGCUUCCAUAGCCAUUUCAAACAUCUCAGAUAUCUUAGAAUUAUGUCAUCUGAUCUAAUCCAUUUCUGUAGUAGUCAAUAAGAAAAAGUAAAAGUAGAACAUUUAUAAUAUAUAGAACUGCAGUCCCUAGAACAUGCCUACUGCAAGAAGGAAAAUCUGUUUAAAUAAAUAGGUUUAUUUCCAGUCCCAAUGACAGAGAAUAAAAACAGGUUGAGAAAUCUGGGUGCCUGAAUCCAAAAAAAUGCUCCUAAACACAUACAAGAUGUGACUCAACUUGCAAGACUACAAAAGUCUGCAAAAGACUACUAUGUGAGCUUAACGUUUCUCAAAUGCCUAAAACUCUACUUCUAGAUGUAAUAUUUAAGCUCUGGAGGUAAGGAGUUGCAGGAUGCAAAAAUGAUGCCUGUAUAUUUUCUUGGAGUUAGCCAUUUUUAAAGGUCAGCUGGCUAUCGCUGUCAGUAUCCUUACAAAACUUCAAUUUGUUUGAGAAAUAAAUGAAAAUCAAGUAAGAGUUAUACUGCAAAAAGCAGCAGGCUAUCAUUUCUGUUGCACAACACUGUUUCCAUUCUAGUCUCCUGAGCUUUCCUCCUCUGUUAGUCGGAACAGCCUGAAAUUUCUGUUUUUCUGGGUUCAGAAGUUAUGUGCUUAUUCUCUGCCCAAAGGUGAAAUUGUUUGUGGAAAGCUUGAGCAAGAAUGUUUUUGCUGGUUUAAGUGUGAGAACAGUGGGAUAGGGGGAAAUGUUGCAUAAAGGUAAAAGUGCUUUAGGGUUUUCUAAAUAACUUUUUCAUCACAAUGAAGAGAUAUGAAGAGAUGAAAAUCAUGGUGAAAAUAACCCUGCUCAGGGAAGACCUAUACUUUUUCUAAAGUUGUUCUCAAGUAAGUCCUUCAAGCAGCAUAUACAGUCCAUCUUUGUCAGAGCCAGGGAGCAUUUAGACUUGACCUUCACUGAAAUGAAGGGCAAGUAUCUGCUCAGAUUGAGCUGUCCUUUGAGUCAUAAACAGCUCCUCCAUAUUUUCAUGGUGACACACUGCACCCCGAAGUCCUGCCCCAUUACUGCCUAAUUCUUCGUGGGGUGGCUCAUCUGCAGUUUAUCUACAGGUUCCUUCAUGAAUAAACUGGGAUUUGGGAGGCUGGUGAGGGAGGGGCUUGAUGCCCACAGGGGCCCCACUUCAGUGUGCACUGUGGCUGCACUCUGCUAUUGGUGGUGCAGGACCUCCAAAUGUGUUGCAGCAGGCCUUUGUGGCCUUCUCUCUCUGCAUGUCCUCAUGCCACAGUUAAGUAUCACAGGCAUUUAAAAAUAUAAACCAUCUGUGUGACAAUGAGGGGCCUCUGUCAACUGUCUGUGGGAUGUGCAGAAGCAGAGUGUUUCUCCUCAAGAGCACCUUACAGUGUUUGCUGACCUGCCUCAAGUCCAUGGCCAGGAGGUCAGUGGACCUGAAGGCAGCGUGUGUUUGCAGCUGGGGUACCAGCUGCCAGCCUGGACAGCAGAAGGAAGGGAUUCUGGGCAGGCAUGACAUGACACAACCCACAGUCACAUGCUGUCAUGUGCGAUCAUGCUAGGUGUUACAUGUCCCACAUGAGCACACAUUGGAUAAAGACAGUAAGCAAGGUGUCCUCCUUGGCUGGACAGGGAGUAUACAACGUCUGACCCUCCUGUGGCCACAAAACCAUCUCGUCAGGGUGCAGCACAGGCCAGGGACUCCCCAUGGUGGCAGGGCAGGACCUGGCCGCCAGGGCUUGUCCCACCAUUCCAGCCCUAAGCCAGGCAGCUGGAGGCCCUGGGGCAGCCCCAGCCCUGGAAAGGCCCAGCCCUGGGUAUUGGGCACCUCCCUGGAGACAGGCUGAGGCCAGGUUGGGACAUGAACCCACAGGUGUGCCUAGCUCAGUAAGACCCAUCGUUGGGCAGGGGCUGGUGGCUCCAUGGGAUCCUGGGCCAUAGGCGGGCACCUCAGGGUCCCAACACAUCAUUAUGGAGAGACUCAAUAUGGCUUUGCCUCUGGCUGACUUCAAGAAGUGCUCACAGAAGCAGAGCUCUGUCCAGGAGCAUUGCUGUGUGCAGUUGGAUUGGUGGAUGAAAACUACAGAGGUGGUGAGGAGCAGUUGCCUUUAGCCCCUGCUUAGGGAACACAUUUUCUCAUACUAUAGCUGUGAGAGCCAACAGCAGGCAGCAGUAGGACACAGGACCUCUGUGCACAGUGAGCUUUUCAGAAGUGUGUUGUCCUUCCUGGCCUCACCAGGGCAGACAAGCCAUAAGAGAGAGUCGCUUGCUCUACGUGCGGAGCUGCAAACACAUCUCUGCCCCAUUGUCUGGCAAUUCCCACUUAUGGUAAAACAUUCUGCAGCCCCAGCCACUGCCAAGGGCAGAGGACAUGAGCAGAGCACUCUGAUGCAGCCUGGUUCUCCCCAGCAUCGUCAGGUGAGUCCUACAACUACAGUGCUCUCCUCUAUGCACUGAGGCUGGCACUGGGGUGGCCAUUUCGCCAUGAGCAUCGUGACUGUGCCUGCCUUCCUGCCAACAUCACUGGCAAGUUUCUGUUUACUGUGAUUGCUCUCAGCAUGACCCUCAUAAAGCAGCAAUUCUGGCCUUUACCUCUUGCCCAGAAGUCUCCUCUGUUGUCUCUCCUUCCUCAGGCUAGCCAGAACCAGGCCUUCCAGAAGUGUGAAACUCUUGCUUCCUUGGAUGAAGCUGACUCCGGACACAAGUUAAUAACAGCAAUUUCCUGUGGUCAGGAGCACCCAAUUCCAAUACUCUCUCCAACGGUUUCCAAGACUUCAAGCCUCUUUUGUGUCACACAAAGAGGGCAGUGACUGCAGUGCUGUGAGUUUACCCAGUAAUGGUACAUAAUGAAAUCUUUGACAGAGAGCUCUAAAUACUGCUUUUGAUUCACAAUAGGCAGCAUACCAGGACGUGCCUACAUUGACCACGAUGCUAUGUGACUGGAAGAGAACUGCUGGUCUCAAAUGUCUUUUGCUCAUGCAAGAGAAGUACCUGAAGCAGCCGAAGAAGAGUCACACCAUGUGCCCAAGAGCACUGUGCAAACGCUUCUUGUCAGGCUUUGUGCUAUCACCCCAAGACAGCUGGGGAGUCUGCUUCAGUGCCCAACCACUCUCUGGGUGAAGAACCUUUUUCUAAUAUCCAUCCUAAACCUCCCCUGACACAACUUCGGGCCAUUCCCUUGGGUCCUGUCACUGGGUCCACAGAGAGGAGAUUGGUGCCUUUCCCUCCUCUUCCCCUGAUGAGGAAGUUGUAACUGCAAUGAGGUCCUCCCUCAGUGUCCUCUUCUCCAGGCUGAACAGAUGCGUCACCUCAGAUGCUCCUCAUAUGGCUUCACCUCAAGGCCCUAUGUGGGGGACUUUACAUGCAUUUGCAUUGAUGUCAAAGUGAGGAAAAUGCUGUGAUGUGUUUUCUUCUCCCUGCUGUCCAACAAGGUCCCCAGGAGCUGGUACUCCAUCCAGCUUCAUCUCUGCUGUGCUACAAGUUGGGUGCUACAGCUUUUGGAUGAUGUGCUGACUGUGCCUCUCCUUCUCAAAAAGAAAACAGAAUUUAUUUUAAAAAUAUAUGUGUUUGAGGCCAUGCUUGUUAAUUUCUGGAACCAGAACUAGCCUUUUUAUUUUCAUUCUAGAAUUUGCCUACUGUCCCAAAGUAAUCAAGUCAGGAAUCAGAGGAUUUGGCUUCUCUGAGGACUGUGUCUGCCUCAAGUUCUACAGAAGAUCAACUUAACACAUGACACCUAAGACUACACUCGCUGUGCCCCCUGCUCCACCCCCUGCACUCAGUUCUGGCCAAGAUACAUGGACAGAGAUUUCCUCUCACCCAAGGAUAAUGAGUCACAAAGUCUGGAUGAUUAGAAGGAAGGGUUAGGGUUUCACCUGCUUUAUGGGAGAUCAUUUUCUCCUUCAGAUACCAUUCCUAAUCCUACACUCACUGCAGAUGCAUUCUACUACAAGACCUGCAGAAGUGAGUCCUCCCUGGAGACUGCAGUGCUAUUCGUUGCUUUAUGGAAGGUGUUUCUGCACCACAUUUAUCCCUAAAGGGUUAGAAUUGACAUUUGGCACUGAAACUUGUUUAAUUUUUUGUUUGUUUGUUUGAAGUUUUGAUAAAGUUUAACCACUGAGAUAGUCCAGGCUUCUGCUUGAAGCAACAAAAGGGCAGCCAUACUGCUCAGUAGGCAGGCUCUCUGAUGUUGUUGGGGGGCUUAUCUAUGCAUUUGAACCAGUUCUACUUGGGUUCAGCUUGCUGUGCAAGCACAGAGCUCAGUGAAGAACAACAGCUCACCAGCCUUCCAGGCUGUGAAGUGCUCUGUGUUUGUAGCAUUAGUGCUGACAAUGAGUUGGUCAAGAUCUUGUGACCCUAGUCUUUCCACUGCUGCUUGAAUUUUCCGUUUUUUUGGCCUUCACUUUCCUAGGGAAUACUGAGAUUAUGAGAUUUGGUACAAAAUUAUUCCCUGCAACAGUAACAGGCAACACACAUCUCUGCUUAUGUGGAGGUCUCUCUGCAAUGCCAGGGCUGUGUGUUUUAAGCUUUAGGUCAUCCCAGUUCACCAUCUAUUUAUCUGUCAGGUCUGGGCCAUAAAAUAUAGAAGCUGAAGUUAUUGGUGACUGGAAUUCAUUAUUAUGCCCAGAUAGUUAGCUGACAUAUACAAAAGGUUGGAUAAGUUUAUGAUCAAAAAGAAAUUCAUGUACUACAGAGCUGAAGAAGACAACAAGCUAACGAUGCAAUCUACUAACCCCUGACCAGGGAAGAAUAUGCACCUCCACACAUGUAUUCAGUCUUCAUAGGAGAGGGUUCCUCUGAAGCCUCAGAUGUUGCCUGCUACUGGAGACAGGGCUCAGUGGAGUAAUUACUUUAGUCAUGACAACAAAUACUCCAAUGACAUCAGUGGAAAUCCUUUUCAUGGUGCUGAAUUACAGCUUGACAGCAGCAAUCUCAUGACACACUCCUUCUGAUUCCGCACCUGCGUCGUGACAACUGUAUUGCUUGGUUACAUUAAAACAGUAUCACUGCCUAAGGGGAAGACAAAAUGACAAUACAUUUAUUUUUAUGAAAUCUUUGGAUUCUGUGCCAUCUCCUAUUUGCUUUCUGUAUUUUUUUAUUCUCCCUUUUGCAGUAUUCUAGAUUUAUUGGGACAAUCUUUUCACUGCUUGCAAUUUUCCACUGCUCUGAUGUGGUUGCUUUCCCACUUGCAAUUUCUUUCUACGUACUGCUAGAAUUUAGAAACUAGUGUCACCAUUAAGAUUUUUCUUGGUUGCAAUGGACAGGCGUGAAACAUGUUCCCAUCCCAAAAAUGAGUUUAAUGUAGUUAUCAAAGGUUUGGAGGGAUGCUGCUUAUUUUAGUUUUGCUGACAAAAAAGGAAAAAGUGUCACAAAUUGGGUUCAUAUAAUCUAUUAUAAGUAUGUGUGAAGACUAAUUUUUAAAAUUUUUUUUACUUACCAUGGUAAGUAAAACUUGGAGCCUGACCACCUGCAAUUAGGACAUGAAGGAUGAACCAUAGUGUUCUGAAGACUGGAGAUACUUAAACAGUUUAUAUUCUGACACUGAAGACAUAGGUUGGUAUAAACAUUUUAGGCAGGUCACUUUUUUGUGACAUACUGUAGCCUCAUGUGAGCUAGUCUCUGAAGAAGCUGUAUGAAUCACCUUCUGGCUUCAUCUGCCUUUCUUCUUUCAGUGUAGAGAAAGCACAGAUUAUGAUCUUAGGUUCAACCUUACCAUUUGAAUAGUUAAGGUUAGGUAAGAUGAAUUCUGUCCUCAAAUUAGUGAAAUAUCAGAAAAGAUAUCAAAUAUUCAUUUUUUCGUUUCUCCACAGCGUUACUAAAAAUCUAGGUAGUGAUCCUUGAAGAAUUAUUUGAUAUAAUAAAUGUUCAUACUUAAAAGCAAAGUGCUAUGAGUAGUCUGUGAUGAUAGCUUACAUAGUUUAAUUUGCAAAUAGACUCUUAUACCAUUUCCACAGCUGGAGGAUUCUGUCAGCCAAAUCACAACAGGCAACUGGAAGCAGUGAGGGAACCUCUUUGCAAGGAUUUUUUUUCUGUGCAGAGAUGUCAGCUAGCUGGUUGGUGGUUUUUAUUCCUCUUUAUUCCAUGUGAAACCUUGAUUUAUUGCUUCUGCAGUACCAGAGUAAGGGUCAAGCCACAGGACUUGUACAGCCAGGUCCCUCAGCCAUUGAGAGCGCUCCAUGUGGGCUUAAAGUAUGUCAGGACUAAGGGAGGGUUAGAAUAAGUAGAAUGAGAAAGUACAAGAUCAUAGGUCUUUGUACCAUACUGAACUGUCAUUUUCACGAUCUUCAUAGAAUCACCCUCAAUACUGAUAGGUUAGGAAGAAUCCAGAGAGGAGAGAGUUAACAUCCUCUCAAUGCUGUGCCCAUGAUGGCCUGCUUUUUGUCUAACUGCUAAGCAAAAUACAAGUUGCAUAAACAGAAACACUGAAUAUAGACUGCAGGAGAUUAUUUUAGCACUGUAUGAAGACAUGAUGCCAGUGAAUCUGUAAUUUGGAUAUAUAUUUUUGUUGCAAGGUCUAGUGCUCUCUUUUACACAUAGGCACACACACAUAACAAGAGCAAUGAGGCUGUCAGUUCUGGCCAUCUCAAUAGUGUUGCAGAAUUCUGAGGAAGACGACAAAACAUUGCAUUCAGUUGAGAAAUCAAUUUAAGCAGAAUGCUUAGAGAAAAUAGAUUGUUAUCUAUAGAAAAGGGAAGUUAAGGGCAAAUGGAACUUCACUAAAGUAUGCUCUUCACUAACCAUGCUAAAGUAUGUUGGAGAAAAGAGAGAAGUUCUAUGCCACAAAUGAAGUUGAGCUUAAUCAAGUUGAGCAAUUAAACUUGUUAACCUAGUAUAAUUGCAAGAAAGAAUAUCAAUUAUAUCUAAAUAUUAAGUUCCUGAAACUGAAAUGGAUACUGGCAGAAUAUAAGGUACUUAUAUACCAAUGUCAGAGAAAUAGUCUCAAUAGUUCAUAUAUAGAAUUAAGUAGCAGGGCAACAAGAAAACCAUGUGUAAUGUCUUAACAGGAGUUAAGAAAAUCUUUGGGUGUCCAAACUGACUAGUACUCGUGUUGCUAAAGAAAAGCACCUAGAUGUAUCUUCUGGGCAUUUUCCAUUUCAAAGUUCCUUUUGCCUCAUCCCUGCUGCCUAUGGAUAUCUUCACAUUAUAAUGUUUCAAUUGGCAAUUUUUUGAUCAAUAAAUAAAACCUGCCAUUGGUAUAUAUCUAAUCCUAGUGCCAUUCUCUAGAGCCAGGUAAAUGAAAGACAGUUUAAAAAUAGUUACACGGAAGAAAACUCUUUCUUACCCUUCUUUCAUAUGGAAAGUGUUGAUGACUUUCACUUUCCUUUGGGAAAUAUGGGGAGCUUUUCCAACUGGCUUGGCCAGAAUUUGCUGGAGCAGAGCCCUGCCAUGCACUCCUAGUUCUCUGCAGCUUGCUCACUUCCCCAGCUCUUAUAUACCUUCCAAUUUAAUGAGAUUUUUUUUUCCCUUGGUGUUUUGCAGGUUUCUUCUGUCCCUUCUUGUUUUUCAGUGGAGUAAUCAUGCUUUCUAAUAUCUUAUCCAAAAGGCCAAGAUUUCAAUACAGCUUUGGAAAUACUGCAUGCUGUGGACUUUCAUUUGCCUCUUGUUUGUACCUGCCUUUAAAGUAUUAAUAGGAAAAUGCAGAAAAAAACCGCCAUAACUUUACACAUAUAAUACUCUACUGAAUAUUUUUUUCCUGCCGAAACUAAAAAUGAUGUCUCAGUGUCAGUGCACAGAGCAAUAGUGAGACCAAUUCUUUUCAAACUGUCUAGAAAUUUCUUACUGUGACCUAUGGAGAGCUGCCUAGUGGUCCCCACAGACUUGUCUUGUGUUGCUGGCUCCUCAUCUUUUCCAGCUGCUAGCUUCUAGUAAAAGCAGGGGGGAAAUGGUAUUCCACAGAAGUAAUGAACACAGCUG